AAGCCAUGAUGCGGGCAGUCCCGUUGAUACUCCUUGAAACAAACCCAAGCGGCUUUGAAAACUUCAGCUAGACCUUGGGUAAAGGUAGACAUCUUAGUCCUCAGCUC